AUUGAACGCUGGCGGAAUGCUUUACACAUGCAAGUCGAACGGCAGCACGGGGCAACCUGGUGGCGAGUGGCGAACGGGUGAGUAGUACAUCGGAACGUGCCCAAUCGUGGGGGAUAACGUAGCGAAAGUUACGCUAAUACCGCAUACGAUCUACGGAUGAAAGCGGGGGAUCGCAAGACCUCGCGCGAAUGGAGCGGCCGAUGUCAGAUUAGGUAGUUGGUGGGGUAAAGGCUCACCAAGCCGACGAUCUGUAGCUGGUCUGAGAGGACGACCAGCCACACUGGGACUGAGACACGGCCCAGACUCCUACGGGAGGCAGCAGUGGGGAAUUUUGGACAAUGGGCGCAAGCCUGAUCCAGCCAUUCCGCGUGCAGGAUGAAGGCCUUCGGGUUGUAAACUGCUUUUGUACGGAGCGAAAAGGCUCUCUCUAAUACAGGGGGCUCAUGACGGUACCGUAAGAAUAAGCACCGGCUAACUACGUGCCAGCCGCCGCUGUAACAC
rnacentral:rRNA from 1 species